UAUCGGUUCUGCGACAUAUGUGACUAGC
rnacentral:sRNA from 1 species